UAGCAUAUAAGCACAGUGGCACUUUGUGCAUGUACAACUUCCUCCUGCUUGGAGCUUGAUUUGGCUGGGGCUGAUGGUCAUUUGAUUGGUGCUGGCGUGCCAUUUUAUGCAGUCUCCCCCUUCUCCAGCACUUCUGGUGCAUUAGUGAGGAGCUAUUGGAAACAGCAUUGAAUUAUCACAGCCCUUUGUGGCUUUGUGGCUCUGCCAACUUAUAACGCUCCUGCAAUUCGACCUCAGCAGGGUGAUGUCUGUAUGCAGGGCACCUGAGUGUGUGUGGGGUAUCCUUCUGGUGGUGGAGUGCUCCUGUGAAUGCUCCCCUCCUGUCUGUCACUCGUUGUUUGCUCACAACCAGUAUUUCCUCGUCUUGGAGCUCCUAUCUUAUAUAUUUCUUUUUUCAUUUGUUUAUUUUAGAUUUAUAUUAAUAAACCAGUGUUCUUAUGUUCUUAUCAAUUAAUGUCUCAUCUCAAACCCAUGUCUCUGGAUGUCCUUCAGGCUUAUGCCUGGUUCACACUACACGAUUUUAGCCUGGUUUUUCAGUCACCGACUGUUUUUUGUAGAUCGCCGACAGAAACCUGUGGUCGGAGGCAAAUGUAGUGUGAACAGCUGAAAGACACUCGCCGAGUGGUCGCCGACUAAUCGGAGACGCCUGGCAAAUAUCUAGCAUGUUUAAUAUCCAGCCCAGUCGGCAACAGCAGCGUCUAGCUACAGCCAAUGGGAACGCGUAGAGAGAGAACCGCGUCACCGUCAAAAAAUAACGAAAAUAUGGAGUACAUGUACAUAUACACAUGCUUUCUCACAGUACAAACAGACAGGUACGUUUUCAUUGAUAAAAUAUUCACCUCCAACUCUCUCUGCAGAACAGACAGUCCCUGCUGGCCCUGUGCCUUUAUCCAUCGUCUCCUCCAUAUUCGUUCCCUUUUCUUCUUUCUUUUCUCACUACAAAUCAGCGCGGUGACAACUCAGAUUGCUUGUUUUUCACAUCUUCUAUGUGGUAUUGCUAGUUCUCACGAGAGUUUAGUUUUCGUGUGUUCUCUUGUUUUUGGACAGCAGCCAGAUGAGUCGGCGUUUCCCCAGGGUGAAAGUCGUUUAAUUCGUCAGCCCGUGUCGCCGAUCAGUCAUGUAGU